UCUGACCCAACAACACUUAAGGUCUGAGCAUAGAGUUAACCCAGUCAGUUUCUGACCCAUUUGUGCUGAGGUGAUAAUGUCCACGAACGGCUUCCUACAGUCCUCAUCAUAGAAAAAAUGAGUGGGGAGGUGAAUCAUGCUGAAAUUGACAUUUUCCGGCAAGUCAAUCAACUUUCACAUCCCUUCACCUCACCAAUACAAGGUUCAUCACAGGAGUAAUAUCUAAGACAUUGAAGGGCUAGGUAUACACAAAAUCAAGCAUUCCCUAUUCAAGGUAAUUUCUU